UACGGAGGGUUCAAGCGUUAUCCGGAUUUACUGGGCUUAAAGGGUGUGUAGGCGGACUUUUAAGUCAGGGGUGAAAUCCCGAGGCUCAACCUCGGAACUGCCUUUGAUACUAUUGGUCUUGAAUCUUGUUGAGGUGGGCGGAACGGGUCAUGUAGCGGUGAAAUGCAUAGAUAUGACCCGGAACACCGAUUGCGAAGGCAGCCCGCUGAGCAAGCAUUGACGCUGAGGCACGAAAGCGUGGGGAUCAAACAGG
rnacentral:rRNA from 1 species